rnacentral:rRNA from 1 species
UACGUAGGGUGCAAGCGUUGUCCGGAAUUAUUGGGCGUAAAGAGCUUGUAGGCGGUUUGUCGCGUCUGCUGUGAAAUUUCGGGGCUCAACCCCGAACUUGCAGUGGGUACGGGCAGACUAGAGUGUGGUAGGGGAGACUGGAAUUCCUGGUGUAGCGGUGAAAUGCGCAGAUAUCAGGAGGAACACCGAUGGCGAAGGCAGGUCUCUGGGCCGUAACUGACGCUGAGGAGCGAAAGCGUGGGGGAGCGAACAGG